AUGAAAACCAAUCCUGAACACUGGAGCAGAGCUUUUUUCAAACUUGGCUCAUAUUGUGAUUCUGUGGAAAACAAUAUGUGUGAGUCCUUUAACAACUCCAUCAUGAGAGCAAGGUUUUAUCUUGUGAUUACUAGUCACGAGAUCAUAAGGAAGAAGGUCAUGGCUAGAAUUCAAGAAAACAGAGCAACGCCUGACAAGUGGAGUGGAAAAAUAUGCCCUAAUAUUUUCAAAAAGUUGCAGGUUAACAUAAAGAGAUCAACAAGAUGCAAUGUGCUAUGGAAUGGCAAAGAAGGAUUUGAAGUGCAGGAAGGUGAGUACAGAAGGUUCACAAUUGACCUGGAGAAGUGCACUUGCUCUUGUAGAUAUUGGGAGCUCUCUGGGUUGCCCUAUUGUCAUGCAAUCAGUGCAGUAUACACAUGUGGUUUAUGCCUUGAUGACUUCAUUGCACCUUGUUACUUCAUCAGCACAUACAACCAGAUUUAUGACCAUGUGCUACAACCAGUAGAGGGCAAAGAGAAUUGGCCUGUAUCUACAAAUCCUAGACCAGACCCUCCUGUUAGGGUUAAUAACAAGCCUGGGAGGAAGAAGACAGAAAGAACUAGAGAGGAGCAAGAGAAUCCCAAAAGCAACAAAAUUUCAAGGAAAGGAGUUAAGAUGACAUGUUCAGUAUGUGGCAGUACACAACACAAUAAGAGGAAUCAUUCAGAAAAAACCAGGAUAGCAGCUAUGUAA
rnacentral:rRNA from 1 species